rnacentral:tRNA from 3 species
ACUGAUGUACUUUCAACGGUAGAAAGCUGUUGGCUAACGCCUCUCAGUUGUGCGGGUUCGACUCCCGUCAUCAGUC